rnacentral:SRP_RNA from 1 species
GCCGGGCAUGGGGUGCAUCCCAUAGUACCAGCUACUAGGAGGCUGCAGCGGGAGGGCCAGCUGAGCCCUGGGCUGAGUGGGCUAUGCAGCUGAGCAUCUGCACUAUGUUCAGCAUCAACAUGGUGACCUCCGGGAGCAGGGGACCACAGGUUGCCUAAGGAGGAGUGAAUUGGCCCAGGUCAGAAACGGAGCAGGUCAAAACUCCCAAGCUGAUCAGUAGUGGGAUUGCGCCUAUGAAUAGCCAAUGCACUCCAGCCUGGGCAAGAUAAUGAGAUCCUGUCUCUU